UGCAUUCACUACUGUAAGUUGCUCUGGAUAAGAGUGUCUGCUAAAUUGUAAAAU
rfam:Salmo salar isolate Sally breed double haploid chromosome ssa01, whole genome shotgun sequence.